CCGAGGAGCAGGAAAAUCGACAUUUUGGGCAAAAGCCCUUCAUCAGGAAUUCAAUCACCAAUUUAGCAUGACUCUCUGUUUCCGGUCUGUUACCCCAUUCUCAAUUCAUAACAGUCUUUUCACCUGUAAUCCCAUGCACUCUAAUUUUGCCCACUAGCCCUUAACAAAAACCUUCUGAAAAUCCAAAUAAAAUUGAUUAACCCAUCUGUUCUGAUAGUGACAUUCUCAAAAAACUUCAACCAGUUUGCCAGCUAUGAUUUCCCUUUCAUAUUGAUUCUGCCCAAUCAUAUCAUCAUUUCCCAAGUGAACAAUUAUCACAUCAUUUGUAGUAGAAUUUAGCAUUUUCUGCAUCAUUGACGUGAUAGAUCUGUCGUUCCCCAUUUUCUGUCUCCCUUUCCUCUGAAAUAGUGAGGUUAAUUUACCACCUUCUCAUUUACAGGAACCAUUUCUGAACCAUUAGAAUUUUGAAGAUGAUUAACAAUGCAUCCAUUAUCUUGGUCGCCAUCUUAUUCAACUCUGUACGUGAAGCUCAUUCAUUCACAGCUAACUGAACAAAAUCCAGAGAAGACUUCAGAUCUCCACCAGCUCAGGAACGCUCUCUGUUCUCUGCACUUGGAGCCCGAAGAAAAUCCUUUCAUUUUUCUGUCACAAGUUGGUAUAACCCAUGAAUUUUAAUGAAUAGAUCGGACACCUUUAUAAACAUCGAGCAGAUACCCUGUACCUCCUGCAAGCCGGUGACAGCAUCUGGAGAAGGAAGACUGAGGACCAGUGCUGGGAUCAACACAAGAGUCAUCCUAGCCAAUCCCGCGAAGAGAGAUCACUGAACUGCUUUCCCAGUUUUCCCUCCAUCCAUUACACACAUAUUUUGUUCUCUCUCUGUGCGUGUGUGUGUGUGUGAGAGAGAGAGAGAGAGAGA